rnacentral:misc_RNA from 1 species
GCGGCUCAGUUUUAACUGCGGCCUCGCCUCGCCUAUUGGCGAUAAAAGGGUCGGGCGACAGUCGCAGAUUAAAGCGCCGCAAAUAAGGCUCCUUUGUCACGUGCCGGUGUCUGCCUCGGUAUUCUGAAGGGCCUGUCUUUUGUCGAGACACGUGCUUCUGGCUGUCAUCACUUACCUCGGACCGGUGAGCGGUUCCAGCAUUUCACAGCUCUCGCAACUGCGGCCCGAACCAGCUCGGUGAUCUACGUUGUCGCUCAGGAACGAUAUUCCUUCGAGCGCGUCGAGGACGGUGCAUUGCAGGCCACCCAGCUUCCAGUCAAGGUCACCUGGAAAUGAAGGACGGGAGCAAACCAACGAGGUGGUUUGGGACGCGAAGACGUCCAAGCAACGGUGGCUGAACGCUGUCGAUAGCCCUUACAAAACACAAGAGAAUCGUAAAACACAAAGAAGGCUGCAAUGGAAAUCUGGGCAGUUUGAAUGGUUGCGCCUUCUUGACCGGUCAGGCCAUGUGUGUUGAUAGCAGUUGACUUGACAGAAUUGCUCUUGCUGCGGCGGCGUGAAAUCAAACCGUCCUAAUGGUUCUAAGGUAUAUUUUCCAGUAGCGCAGCAUGUGCCCCACAGGCUCUGAACGAGUCUUGCCUAAGAAACCACGUUUUGAGGGACUGCUUGAGCCUCUGCGAGAGGACCCACCUGAGAGCGACUGCGAGGUCCUUGUGUGCUUUGGCACGUCGCAGGCCAGUCUGCUCGAGCGAUUUUCGUCUGCUCUGCGUCGGCGCUGGCCACACUGGGCCGUGGUUCUCUCCUAUGGCGAGAAGGCGCUCUACUGCACUGGCCGGAGGGACCCCCGCACUGGCUGUCUCGUUGGUACAGCCACCUGGAGGACAGCUGCGCAGCUGGACGCUAUGAACGUCCAUAAGAUGUCCCUGGGCGAGCACACCGUGUCACCACAGCAGCUUUGUGACGCCAUGACCGGCCUGUGUGAGGAUGGAAAGUAUCGCACAGUGCACAACGACAGCCAAGCUUGGGCCGUCAAGCUCCUGAACCGCCUCAGCUUGAAUAUACCGGACUAGCUGCAGUUUCGUUUAUCACAUGUCGCGCCUUGCGCCUACCAUGAAUUUGCUAAUCUCAUCACUCCUCAACAUUGUCCGUUCUCCAGUAUACGCACUAACAGAUCCAUCUAUGUAUCACUUUCUGUGCUCAGCAACUCGCCAUGGCAAUACCUAUCUGUAAGUCAUUUGCUAACACAAGAGACACUUCGUGUGAAACGUCUGCAAACGCACUGGACGUUAUUUAUUCAUAUUUUCUAUGCCAGUGUUCAUCAUAUUGUGUUAGUUAUUCCAAACUCUCAUCGAUCUUGUGGAGUAUGUGUUUUGUGUGAGUCGUCAUUCUCCUAGCAACUGGUGCGAUGCAAUACAAACAUUUUUGUACCAAAGAUAACUUCUUUCACUUUUAUUCUUCGUCGAACAUAAGCAAUAUACAAGGUGACUGACAUAGCAAGCUCUGCAGACGAUAGAUAUUAUAUAAAAAUGCCCCCCUCAAACGUUCUUUCGAAGCUGUGAUACGAUCGAUCAACAGAAGUAAAACGCCACUAAACCUACUUCUGCAUGUUGAAACAACAAUUUAAUUGUGAUUCUACUAAUAUUUAGGCCUAUUUUGUCGUCUAAAGAAAACGACCAAAGUUCAGCCUUAUUGGAGAAGGGUUUCCUGUUUUGUACCUAAUAUUUCUAUUCUAAACAACAAUAGUGUGCAAGUUAUCAAGGUUCGUAUGUUUUAACUCAGGCGUAAAAACGCCGACACAACACAAGCAGAAACUACCGCACCCAUGCCGACCGGCAUUUCAAAAAACGAGCUGCGGUAGAAAUAAACAAAAUUCAAAAACACAUCUUCAAAUAUGGUUGUUUACGUACGAGAAAGCGAAUCUGUUACUCAUGAGCAAAUGUGUUCGCUCUUCAAGUAAGAGCAGUUUAGGCGCGAGAACUGUCUUGUCUGUUCAGGAAAAUGAUUGAAGCUUCCUUUUAGUAUUGAUAUUGCACGCCUCGAGAAUAAGUAGGCUUUCGGUAUGAAAGUUUGUGAAGAGUGGUUGACAUUUUUCAAGGUUGGGAGCUCACUUGUACUUGCGACUGUGCAACAAAAAGUUAGAUGCCAUACUAUUGCUCAAUGAACUUUUUGCUCACUGGAAGAGUUUGUGCAAGGAUUCAUAGUUGCUACAUAAAAAUGCUCGCAAAUAGAUUGAUGUCAUAAAUACUUCCACAAUGCAUGUUACAAAUUUAUAAGUGCAAGAUAACAUGCGUGGUGCAUUCUUUCUACAUAGUAUAUUAUUCUUUGACUUUGCACAGUCAUCUAUUUUUUCUUAAUUUAGCGCCAGUACUACUAGGAACUUUGAUAGUGUAUCCACCUGAUUUUUUAACAAGUGUUUACGAUAAAAAUUAUAUAGAAGACAUCACCCAGGCUCAACUCGUUUUAUCAUCAAUUCUUUCUGCUAUUUUAACCAACAUGAAGAAAUAACGUACGUUUUUUUAGAAAAUCAGUGUCGUUAAUCACGACGACGAAAGAGAAAACAGCAUUUUUAAAUUGUGGACUAUUUACAAUGUGGACAUAUUUACAUUGCUCAUACCCGUCCUUUGGGAGGACUAGAAAUAAAACAUGAAAAUGCUGUUUUUUUCAACGUUGUAAUAAUCAGUGGUAUUAUUCAGCCAUGAUUUGUAUUAUCCAUGAUAAUAAUGCGUACACAUGUGGCCGCCUAUAAGAGCCCAAAAUGAAAAGCUAAAGACUAGAAAUUGACCUGUUUUUAUAAUUAUACGUGGGCAGGAUCGCAAUCACUUGACGCUCUUCAUUCUUUUUUGGAACAUUUGUAGUGACCCGCUCAAACGCAUUGCUUCAAAGCAAAUUAUUCGCACGUGUAGGAAACAAUAUUGGAAGUAUGGUCACCCAGGUGCUACAUAAUUGUAGCACCUGGGUGCUAACCUUAUAACCGAUCAAAAUUCCUUACAGAUAUACAAACAAACUCUCGUUCUAGCAGGCGGCCGUGGUAUUCAAAUACGGAAAUGGACCACCAGGUAACGGCCGACGCAAAGCGUUAUUUUAGAAGAGAGUGAUUUAUAUACUAGCUCACAAAAAGAGACUUUUGGAAUUGUAGCAAACCAUCAUUAGAGAGAGAGAGAGAGAGAGAGGUAAAUAAUUAACCUCCAUGGUUAAGGCCAAGUAUCUGCCAUGACUGUUUUUUUUAUUAUUACGGAUCGAGGACCAUUGAACUUGCAACGUGCCAGUGGUCAAGUCUUACCGAAAACACAGUAAUUUACAGAUGCUCUGCGAGCAACAUAUUGGCAAGUAAUUUAUUUCGUAGCAAUACCCUACAAAGUAAUGUUCUGAUUUCAAUUUUUGCAAGAAAGCUUCCUAAUGAUAAUAAAGAAGUGUACUAAUGAUUAGCAUGUUGACUUUGUCUCCACUGGAGCAUUUCCAGAUGUUUCGUUUUCAUUUUUUUCUUGCCGAAGAACAUACCAGCAUGCGUCAGGUCCCUUUCAACUCCAUGGUGUUUGUGAACUUUUGACUUCUUUAUAAUAUGUCCCUGUUUUUUAACUUACUGCACCUCUUAAUGUAAUGUGUGUAUGCCAGAUUAUCAUGCGGUCCAAACGUGUUCUGUACAUAGUUUCAUUGUGCAAUAAAAUUCAGACAGAAAUCAAACCUCUCUGUGCACAGCGCAUGAAACUCGAGAUGUGAGGGUCGGGAAAUAACCCUGGCAAAACUGGGAAAAAGAUUAUUUUUUCGUCUUGUUUUAGCAUGAAGAAAAUAAAAAAGUCAAUAAAAU